rnacentral:rRNA from 1 species
UACAGAGGUCUCGAGCGUUGUUCGGAUUCACUGGGCGUAAAGCGCACGUAGGCGGCUUUUUAAGUCAGGGGUGAAAUCCUGGAGCUCAACUCCAGAACUGCCUUUGAUACUGAGAAGCUUGAGUCCGGGAGAGGUGAGUGGAACUGCGAGUGUAGAGGUGAAAUUCGUAGAUAUUCGCAAGAACACCAGUGGCGAAGGCGGCUCACUGGCCCGGUACUGACGCUGAGGUGCGAAAGCGUGGGGAGCAAACAGG